GGUGACUGAUAACUGAAUGACUGCUAGGGAAGUCUCCAGACCCAGGGUAUGGCCUGUGCCUAGGAGGAUUCAAAAACAGUCUUAGCAAACCGGAGACUGUGCCUGAGCCUGUCCUCGGCCUCAGUAACAAAGCCCUCCAAAAGGAAGAAAGAAAGAAAGAAAAUGGGGCGUAGCAAGGAUUCCAGACUGGAUUCCAUGACGUCACCCAAACUUGGAUGCCUGCACUCAUAAACAAAGGCUCUUGUGACAUGGCCCCUGGCCAGGCUAGCCACUCGGCUUAUGUGGGGGAGGCGGCUGAAGAGAGCAGCCCCCAUGUUGGCCUCCACCCUGUAUUCAGCCUCUGGAUUUAGCAGGCCUAUGCUUUGACAUGUGAUUCCCAGCUGUCGGCACUGUUCUGGAGGAGAUGUUUGGAAGCUUCUGACGGAAGGACCUUACUGGUGGAAGCAGUUCACUGAGAAUAUUCUCUGUGGCUCCUCCCAUUCUCACUUCCUGUUUCCUGGUCAGCCAACAUAGGAACAGCACCCGCUACAAGGUCCUGCUGCUCUCAAGAUGUGAGCUCUCAGCAUCCUGGGCAUAGCAUCAUGCCUUCUGCCUGCGGCCAUGUUUCUCCAUCACAGCGGACCCUUAGCCCUCUGCAACUGUAGGUCCAAAUAAACCCUUCCUACAGUAAGUUGUCUUAGUCAUGGUGUUUUUAUCACAGUAAUAGAAAAUUAAUAUAAGAGGUGGCAGAGACAGGCUAUG